rnacentral:tRNA from 1 species
GUGUUCCUAUGGCUCAAUUGGUAGAGCAUGGCACUAGUGACACCAAGGUUGUGGGUUUGAUUCCCAGGGAACACA